CCUUCCAGCGCCUCUUCCCUUUAUUAGCUGCUUAAUUGUAUUCUCUUUCCCUAUCUCCAGGCCUCUGAAACCACUUCUGCCUAACUCUGUUGCCAGGUUCUCACAAUCCCAGCACCCCAUGUCUGUGAGCUACAGGGACUCUCGUCUGAGCUUUGACCCGAGCCCCUCGCUCCUGAAGGACAAGCCCCCUCCCGCAGAAGGCUGUACUGCCCCUGGCCUGAGAAGUCGGGCCUUGGCUGAGGUUCACAUCCAAAUACUGCUGGGUAGGGAACACCCCCCUCAGAGCACUGUCACAGGGAGAAAACAGAUAUAAGCUUCGAUGAAGGAAAGCUAAGAUGAUGAAAUAAUAGGACCAAACUGAAAAUCACUGUAGAGUUGUUGCUUCUUUAUGUUCACUGUCAUUCUUGGUGUUUUCUACAUGAGUGAAAUGGAUGUAUAAUCAGAAUGGAUUUUUCAGACUAUGCUGAAGAAAGGGAAAUGAGUGUCGAGUUGUGGGCAGAAUUGAUUGGCAUGCAUGAGAACCCUGAGCCACAUGGACAGAAGUGAAUGAGCCAUAGUCUUUGGCUCCUUGCUCCACUUUGGAAGGAGUCAGUGGAUGUUUCUCUGCAGUGCACAGAGUGUCAUGUGUCGUUGAUGAGCAUGUACCUCUGCCUGGAGUUCAUUCUUGUAAAAACACUGGACACUCACGCUUGCCAGGAACAGUACCCGAGAGCGCACAGCAGAGCCGACCUGCAGGCGUCUCCAGCCCAAGGCAUCAGAGCUCGAAGAGUGGGAAUGCCAAUCACCAUGCCCCUGCCCGCCACCGCCGUCCCUCCUAAGAACUGCCCUGGCCCAGGCCUGAGGGAUGACAGAGCACAGAGGCAGUGGAGUUUUAUGUGGAAGACCCAACCCCCCCGGCUGCAGCUAGCGAGGUCAGAUCUUUAGGAAAAGUCCCUGCAGUCACAUUUCCUUUCUCAUGAAUUCAACACAGGAAUCUCGUCUAGACCAGGUCUUUGCAGGUGAAGUGAAAGCCCAAAGGUGAUGAUGGAAACUCAGACUUCAUGGCCUUACUUGUGGAUGCCUGAACCUACGGUUUGACAGAAGUAGCUCAGAGCUGGAGCGGGAGGAAGGCUGUGGAGUCAGACAUUAUUGGAACGAGUUACACAACACCAUGAAAACACAAUGAGGCAAAUCCAGAUGGUAGGGCCACCCAACUCCAUACAACUUUGUGCAAUGAUGGGAAUCUGUGCUGUCCACUACAGUAGCCACGAGGAACACGU